rnacentral:rRNA from 1 species
UAGGGAAUCUUCGGCAAUGGACGAAAGUCUGUCCGAGCAACGCCGCGUGAGUGAAGAAGGUUUUCGGAUCGUAAAACUCUGUUGUUAGAGAAGAACAAGGACGUUAGUAACUGAACGUCCCCGGACGGUAUCUAACCAGAAAGCCACGGCUAACUACGUGCCAGCAGCCGCGGUAAUACGUAGGUGGCAAGCGUUGUCCGGAUUUAUUGGGCGUAAAGCGAGCGCAGGCGGUUUCUUAAGUCUGAUGUGAAAGCCCCCGGCUCAACCGGGGAGGGUCAUUGGAAACUGGGAGACUUGAGUGCAGAAGAGGAGAGUGGAAUUCCAUGUGUAGCGGUGAAAUGCGUAGAUAUAUGGAGGAACACCAGUGGCGAAGGCGGCUCUCUGGUCUGUAACUGACGCUGAGGCUCGAAAGCGUGGGGAGCAAACAGG